GCUAUAUAGUUCAGCUCAACUAAGCAUCAAGAUUUCAAAACAAACACAGUAACUGAAAAGGAGAGUGGCAAAUUAUUUUAAUCAAGACUAAAUCCUAGUUUAAUUUUAACAUUUUAAUAUGGUACAACCAAUAAUAAAUCUGUGCUGAAUGAUAAUUUUAGUUCUUAUUUGUCCAAAAAGUAUUUAUUAAGCUCUCUGUCAGGCAUUAGCUUUGUCCCGGAUGUUAAUGUGCAAUAAUUAUACACAGAUGCUUGCCUCAUGCAACUUUCUCUCUUGAGAGUGAUAGUCACAGAUAUAAAAGUUGUAAAUUGUGCUAAGUCCAGUUAAGGAAAGGUAAAGGGAAUAUUGAGGUCAGUAACUGGUCAGUAGUUAGAGGCAGAUGUAGAUGUCUAAAGAAGACUUUUUAAAAAUCUGAGAUUAACUAGAGAUUUUAUUUUUAAAUGUUAGUAGGAAGCCAGCUGAAAGAAAAGGUAGAAUAUGUGGGAAAGAUAUAUAAGUAGUAGAAUAGAGUUGUGAGGAGAGAGGAGAUGAGAUUUAGAGUGUAUGUAAAGGAUAAGACUGUUUACUGAGAGUAAGAGUUCAGUAAGAAGAGCAAAGGAAUUUGAAGAGUAAAGAAGGAUAUGAAGUAAUUAUUGUAGAUAAUUGGGCAAGGGGCUAUUACCAUAUCUUCAUCCUUGUUCUAAUGGGAGGUGGUUCAAUUUCUGGUGGUGACAUGAUCAAGAAUGAAGCUCUGGGAGUGGUCCCUGCGGUGCCAUAGAGGAGGCUGCUAGGGAUGAAGACAGCAAGGAACCAAGGAGCCAGGAAUUUGAAUACCUCAAUAUUCAUGGGGUUUGAGGUUACCAAGUGUGACUUUUUUCAUGGAGAGGAAAACUGUGAGCCAUAGGUUUAGCAUUGCUAGAUGAAUGUUGUAAGGAUGAAGAACAUGUGAUAAUAUCCAGAGCAUGAGAGCCUCAAUGGAGCAAGAGAUUAUACAAGAAGACAAGUCUGGCACAGUGGCUCACGCCUGUAAUCCCAGCACUUUGGGAAGCUGAGGCAGGUGGAUCACCUGAGCUCAGGAGUGUGAGACAAGCCUGGCCAACAUGGUGAAACCCUGUCUCUCCUAAAAAUCCAAAAAUUAGCCAGGCAUGGUGGCAUGCACUUGUAAUCCUAACUCCUUGGGAGGCUGAGGCAGGGGAAUCGCUUGAACCCAAGAGGCAGAGGUUGCAGUGAGCCAAGAUUGCUCCAUUGCACUCCAUCCUGGGCAACAGAGCGAGACUCUGUCU